UACGAGUGCCCCAAGCGUUAUCCGGAAUCAUUGGGCGUAAAGGGUGUGUAGGCGGUUUUGUUAGUCUUCUGUGAAAUUCUUCGGCUCAACCGGGGGCCCGCAAAAGAAACGGCAAAACUAGAGGAUGUGAGAGGUGAAUGGAACUCAUGGUGUAGGGGUGAAAUCCGUUGAUAUCAUGGGGAACACCAAAUGCGAAGGCAAUUCACUGGCACAUUCCUGACGCUGAAACACGAAAGCGUGGGUAGCGAAUGGG
rnacentral:rRNA from 1 species